CUUCCAGUUAUCUCAGGAGCAGCAGUCUAAGCCUCCCCCGCCUGCCUCAGCCUUGAUCCAGAAGCAACGUGCACUGGAAGUGACACAGCUUAGAUGAAGGUCGUGUUCCAGGCCUCUGCUGAGUUUGCCAGUUAGUGCAGCCAAAAACUGAGUAUUUAAUGGGGAAGCUGGAGCACCAAACUCAUGUCCCAGAAGGGUGUGCAGACAUGCACUCAUGGGGAGCAAAUUUUAAUCCCCGCAGAGCCAGGCUAGACUCUGGACAAGGACAUGCCAUCCAGUGGUUCAACAGCUCACUAAGGUAUCCAAAGGCAUGUAGGCGUAGAAGAAAGCACUGGUGUUACAACACCAGAAAUUAAAGAUGCUUUUUGGAGAAGCUUGUUAACAAUCUGCCCAUUCUGGCAGUGGAUCUGCAGGUAUAAGGCAAAUGCUCUACACACAGGUGUUCCAUGUUUUUAAAAAGAUCAGAUUCCAUUAAGAACAUCUACUAAACACAGCAGCCAUAACACAGGCAGCAAUAUAUUUUCUACGCUAAUCUCUGAACAACAUUCAAGCCAUUUCAGCAACAUUCUUCAUGCUAAUUUUCCCUUUUCUCCUCUUCUUGGUUAUGAGUCAGCGGCUAGGCUUGAAACCCCUAACCUUCAUCGCUGAGGAAUGAUGUAGACCUCACUCUGGCAAGGCCUUAAUCAUCUGUUAAAGAACAGAAAAGAGACAGUCAAGCACUGAGUUUCCCAUAACUCCCGUUUUAUCCCCGGCUCAUAUAACCCACUGUCAUCUGUCAGUGAGGAGUUUCAUGCAAGGAUUUCUGUGGUGGGCAGGCUGUUGUCUUUGUGAUCACGUCACAUCGGGGCUUCAUAAUCAUCUCGUGAAUGAUGAAUGCACCCAGAUCUGUCUCUUCUUCUGUCAUUUCUAACCAGCAAAUCUCUGUGUGUAAAAGACAUUCCUGUUAGCAGGAGCAAAGAACAGGACCUCGCACUUCUCUGCUUCAGACUCCCUGACAUGCUUACUCUGAAGUUGAUGGAUAUGCUGCAAAUCUUUGCUCUCAAAACUGCUGCUUCCCUAGAUGGCUUUGAAAAAAAACAACCCACAAAUAUCAAGCAUCAUCCUUCUUAUUGAGAAAUGACACAAGGCAGCUGUAAAGACCCAGAGGUGUUUUAGCAGCACUGUGGUGAGCACUGAAGGUGGUGUGAGGAAUGCAUCACCCGAGCACCCACCCCUCUGCUCUCCUGGUGAGCCGAAAGCCACAGUUUAGGCUAUCACAGGGGCAAGUUUCUCAAAAAUGGGGGGGCUGAGAAGUGACCAGCUUCUGAAAGAGAACAAAAAUCCCCUGAAACUCAUCACAGAUUCUCCGACUGCAAAGAAACAUGCAGACACCUAAGCC
rnacentral:lncRNA from 1 species